rnacentral:rRNA from 1 species
UACGGAGGGUGCAAGCGUUGUUCGGAAUUAUUGGGCGUAAAGGGCGCGUAGGCGGAUAGUUUAGUCAGAGGUGAAAGCCCAGGGCUCAACCUUUGAAAGCCGAUGGAUACUGCAGGGCUAGAGUCCGGAAGAGGCGAGUGGAAUUCCUGGUGUAGCGGUGGAAUGCGCAGAUAUCAGGAGGAACACCCAUAGCGAAGGCAGCUCGCUGGGACGGUACUGACGCUAAGGCGCGAAAGCGUGGGGAGCGAACAGG